rnacentral:lncRNA from 1 species
GCGGCGCUGGCGGCAGGUGGCGGCAGCCGACCAGCUUUCAUCGGAGCCGCAGUCCGCGGCCCAGCUGCAUGAUGCGGCGGUGGAGCUGCGCGCCCUGGAGCUGGCACCGGCGGGCCCGGGAGGGGCCCUGGUGCCGUCAACUGCAGCAGGCACGUACUUCUCCUCCCCCCCAGUUUUUGCCUCCCGGGAUUGCAGUCGGGGAGUCAGGGGGGGGACCGAGCCGUGUGAGCGCAAGAUGCGUGGCGUUGGAUAGUUGUGUGCAGAUGUACGCACAAUCCAACAUACAUAGACACGAACGCGACACACCUGGGGCCGUACCGAGCAUGGGGAAGUACUUCAGGUACUUGGUGCACUUCCUGCUACACGAGGUGCUACCUCCUAACUGUGUGCUCACCUCCCAACUAACUUCCUCUUCGCCUGCCAACCGCCCUGGCGGGUCCCUCCUGCCGUCGCAGACCCCGGCGCCAGUGGGCAGCUGCAGCCUACCGCCCAGAUCGCCAGCUACAGCAGCAGCGGUGAUGGCGGCGGUGACGCUGACGGUAUUGGUGACGGUGAUGGUGGACAUGAGGCCACCGGCGGCUUCGGCGGCGGCGCCGACGUCCA